AUGGCAAAGUUAAUAAGGGCGCACGGUGGAUGCCUUGGCACUAAGAGCCGAUGAAGGACGUGACUAACGACGAUAUUCUAGGGGGAGCAGUAAGUACGCAUUGAUCCCUAGGUCUCCGAAUGGGGAAACCCAGCUGCUACUAGCAGUUAUUCAUGAGUGAAUACAUAGCUCAUGUAAAGGUAACGCAGAGAACUGAAACAUCUAAGUACCUGCAGGAAGAGAAAGUAAAAACGAUUUCGUAAGUAGCGGCGAGCGAACGCGAAGAAGGGCAAACCAAGAAGCUUGCUUCUUGGGGUUGUAGGACUGCAACGUGGACUUAAGCAUUAUAGUCGAAUAACCUGGGAAGGUUAAUCAAAGAGGGUAAUAAUCCCGUAGACGAAAUAGCGCUUAUACCUAGCAGUAUCCUGAGUAGGGCUGGACACGCGAAAUCCAGUUUGAAUCCGGGAGGACCAUCUCCCAACCCUAAAUACUCCUUAGUGACCGAUAGUGAACCAGUACCGUGAGGGAAAGGUGAAAAGAACCCCGAGAGGGGAGUGAAAUAGCACCUGAAACCGUGUGCCUACAAGAAGUUCGAGCCCGUUAAUGGGUGAGAGCGUGCCUUUUGUAGAAUGAACCGGCGAGUUACGUUAUGAUGCGAGGUUAAGUUGAAGAGACGGAGCCGUAGGGAAACCGAGUCUGAAUAGGGCGACUUAGUAUCAUGAUGUAGACCCGAAACCUAGUGACCUAUCCAUGAGCAGGGUGAAGGUGUGGUAAGACGCACUGGAGGCCCGAACCAGGACACGUUGAAAAGUGUUUGGAUGACUUGUGGAUAGCGGAGAAAUUCCAAACGAACUGGGAGAUAGCUGGUUCUCUCCGAAAUAGCUUUAGGGCUAGCGUCGAAAUGUAAGUGUAUUGGAGGUAGAGCACUGUUUGGGUGAGGGGUCCGUCUAGGAUUACCAAUCUCAGAUAAACUCCGAAUGCUAAUACACAUGUUCGGCAGUCAGACUGCGAGUGCUAAGAUCCGUAGUCGAAAGGGAAACAGCCCAGACCAACAGCUAAGGUCCCAAAAUAUAUGUUAAGUGGAAAAGGAUGUGGGGUUGCACAGACAACUAGGAUGUUAGCUCAGAAGCAGCUAUCAUUCAAAGAGUGCGUAAUAGCUCACUAGUCGAGUGACCCUGCGCCGAAAAUGUACCGGGGCUAAACAUAUUACCGAAGCUUUGGAUUGAUAUUUUAUCAAUGGUAGGAGAGCGUUCUUAACCGCGAUGAAGGUAUACCGUGAGGAGUGCUGGAGCGUUAAGAAGUGAGAAUGCCGGUAUGAGU
rnacentral:rRNA from 1 species